rnacentral:rRNA from 1 species
GACGAACGCUGGCGGCGUGCUUAACACAUGCAAGUCGAACGGUGAACCUCUUCGGAGGGGAUUAGUGGCGAACGGGUGAGUAACACGUGGUCAAGCUGUCCCCGGCUAUGGGAUAACUCCAAGAAAUUGGGGCUAAUACCGGAUGUUCACCGCUUCCCGCAUGGGUGGUGGUGAAAAGGGUUUCCGGCUGGGGAUGGGCCCGCGGCCCAUCAGCUUGUUGGUGGGGUAGUGGCCUACCAAAGCGACGACGGGUAGCCGGCCGGAGAGGGUGACCGGCCACACUGGGACUGAGAGAAUGCGGAGACUACUACGGGGGGCAGCAGUGGAGAAUAUUGCGCGAUGGGCGGAGGCCUGAUGCAGCAACGCCGCGGGGGGGAAGACGGCCUUCUGUUUGUAGACCUCUUUCAGCAGGGACGAAGCGCAAAUGACGGUACCUGCAGAAGAAGCACCGGCCAACUACGUG